CCUACGGGAGGCAGCAGUGAGGAAUAUUGGUCAAUGGACGAGAGUCUGAACCAGCCAAGUAGCGUGAAGGAUGACUGCCCUAUGGGUUGUAAACUUCUUUUAUAUGGGAAUAAAAUGUUCCACGUGUGGGAUUUUGUAUGUACCAUAUGAAUAAGGAUCGGCUAACUCCGUGCCAGCAGCCGCGGUAAUACGGAGGAUCCGAGCGUUAUCCGGAUUUAUUGGGUGUAAAGGGAGCGUAGGUGGAUUGUUAAGUCAGUUGUGAAAGUUUGCGGCUCAACCGUAAAAUUGCAGUUGAAACUGGCAGUCUUGAGUACAGUAGAGGUGGGCGGAAUUCGCGGUGUAGCGGUGAAAUGCUUAGAUAUCACGAAGAACUCCGAUUGCGAAGGCAGUUCACUGGACUGCAACUGACACUGAGGCUCGAAAGUGUGGGUAUCAAACAGGAUUAGAUACCCCAGUAGUC
rnacentral:rRNA from 1 species